AGCGCCGUCAUCACGAUAUAAGGAAAUAUCGCAAGGAAAUACGCGGCUUUGCCUGUGCUUUUUACGCCGCGAAAAAGCACCAGAAAGACGCAAGCCCAACUGAGGAACAGAUAUAUCGACAACUGCCAAGACGUCUCGAACCUGAAAUAAAGUUCCGCGGAACUUCGAACUGUGACGUUACGAUCCUCGGAGGUGCUCUUGUUCGUCGAGACAUCGAUACAAUAGUCCUGCCAUUCCGGACGACAGAUCGACCACGGUAAUUCAGAUUGGAAACUCGACACCAAAUAAUGCAGAGUCAAUGCCAUCAAAGCGCAGUAGUACGAAACGACGCAGAACGCGCCGAACGCCUGAUCUACUGGUGAAUUGUCCCAAGAGCCCCUCCAGGAGGUAAAACGGUUUCCCGAUCAGAAUCAGCACUAUGAUAUAGGGUAUCAGGAAGGCGCCGCCGCCGUUCUCGUACGCGGUAAACGGAAAUCUCCACACGUUCCCUAAUCCAACGGAAGUAGCUAUACAGGCCAUCAGAAACUCUAAUCUACCUCCCCAUUCCGCCUCCUUAAUGACCGUGGUCUGGCAACGGAAAAUUUAUUUCGUAUAAUUAACGACAUUAUUUCUAUUGAUUUACCUAAUGAUGCAUGUAAUACGUACUGAACUUUCAGGUGGCUCCUGCUGCUUAUCUUGAUGCGUCGCUGUCGCGUAAUCGGGUGGAAUAUUUUCGUGAGAAUCGAAACCGUCUAACUGGAAAGCCUCGUUAGUAUAUCCACUUUGUCUCUGAAAAAAAAGAUGAUAUUCGCGAAUAAAUUUAAUAGGAAAUUACGGUGACCGGUCUUCGUGUGUUUUAAUUGUAGAAAAUCUUACAUAAACGCCGUCUUCUAUCUUUUCCGUUUUAGCCAUCGCGUCGUACAGCGAAACGCGAGAAACUAAGAAUUAAUUUUCAAAAUUUUUGUCUUCAACGACGGAGCGUUACGUUAAUCGCCGCGCACGAAAAACUGCCCCAGACUUUUUCACCGAUAAAUAUCGAAGCCAGGAUCCCGUAGCAAUUACUCUCGCAGGGGAGCAAUCUUUAUCUUCACUCGCGGAUGAACUUCGCGAUAAGAUACUGAACCAAAGUAGCACUCUCGCAGUACUUCGAACGAGAUCACGAUUUUCUUUUUUGCUCUUCUCUCGUUUUGAACUCGUACAUAAUUUGCAAUAUUUCUAACGGAAUUGAUAGCAAACUAGAUGUUAUAUUAGUAUAGUAAGUGUCAACACACUUCACGUAUAGCCAUCACUCGCGAAUGCUAAUCUGCCGCACAGAUUUCUCUUUCAGAAUAUUGCUAAUUUGCAGAUUUCUAUGAAAGAAACCCAACGCAGUCUGCAAAGAUACAAUUAAUGACUGACAGUUUCUUUGCCCCGCGGCAAAGAUAACGAUUCAUCCGGAAGCGCUCGGGAUAAUUUCAUAUACCGAGGGAACCGUUGCGUCUACGAAUUCGCGAUCGACGAAUAACAAAGAUACCAAUGCGCUCCUUGCAUCCGUACCACUCGAGGACACGACUCCGAGAUCUAUGCCGCUCGUUAGCCACCGAUUGGUCAACAAAUCCACGUAAAGUUGGAUAAAGCUGUCCCUCUUCGAUUAGAUACCAGUUCUCCGUGUCUCACACACGCUACUUCACCGACAUCACGUGUUCUUUCAUCUCCUCCUCCUGAUGUAACGAGCGCGGUAAACCAGCAUUUUUUAAGUCAUCUUAGAUCCUCAAGGACCUCUCGUAGCGCAAACGAACUCAAUACGCAGAUAAAAUCUUUCUAUAAGAUCUUUUCGAAAGCGAUUUCUAUUAGUCGCACUAUUAUUUGCCAAGAGCGUUUUUUUUUAACUGAAUUCUUCCAUUCGUGAAAUUCAUGAAUAAGAACCCUGAAGAAUUAAAAAAAAAGUGUGAUAUAAUUAUAAUAUAUGUGUAUAAAUAUAUGUAUUACAAUUA